CUGUAAAGUUGCUUUGUAAUGAUUUGUAUCGUAAAAAGCGCUAUACAAAUAAACUUGAAUUGAAAGGAUGAAAAAGUAACCUUAGAAAUCUUGUAAUAUGCUUUGUCAUUAGAUAAAUCAGGACUUUGCUCUGCUGUCCAAUGCUGAAACAUCCAACAAGCUUCUUGAGAGGUGGGAGACUGCAUUCAAGCAAAAGAUCUUCAAUGAAGCCCAGUCUCUUACUUCAACAGCAGAAAUUGGUGUCUUCUCAAUGCAGCAGGUGGACAAGGAUCUGAAAAUGAUUGGGACAGUGACAUGUCAUCUGUCUAGCUGCAGUUGCAUCUCCUGCUCCAGGGAGGAAGAAGACCAAGAUCAGUCCAACAGAGGCUGUUGACAGACUUGUGCAUUUCCAUAUGUCCUGCACCAGUAUUGAAGGCCAUCUCAGUGGGAGGGAGGGCCACCAGCCAUUCCUGCUGCGAUCAGGAAGGAUUGAGGGCAGGAUCGACCACUUGCGUCGUUGUGGACAAGCGCAUCAUCCCUUUGCGUUGGAACCAGCACCAUGAGUACCUUUGAACUUUUUCAAGUUUACUAUUUCUUCAACCUGUCCUACGUGGAAGCCGUGGUGUCAAGUGUCAACAGCUUGAAGUUCUACAGUCCUUUUGAUCUGCAGUGUUUAUAUGGGUGAGAUGAUGGUUAAUAUAUUGUACCUUCUUUUGUGUUGGUGUAAUUGUUACAUCUGUGUUAAAAAUAAAAUUUCAAAUUGA